GAAGGUGCAGCAAUGCAGUGUAUUGUGUCGGGGGUUUCAGCUCAUUUUGCUGAAGACUCUUGUUACAGGUUUUGUAAAGAUCCAUGGGCAACCUGUAGGAAUUAUAUUGUAAACAAUGGCAUAUUAUUACUGAAUCGGCUCUGAAAGGUGCCCACUCAUCAAACUGUGUGCUCAACGCAGCAUUCCUUUGAUCUUUCUACAGAAUAUUACUGGAUUUAUGGUUGGUUCAAGAUCUAAAGCUAAUGGUUUUUGCUAAAGCUGGAGCAAAGAUGGCCAUGGCAGUUUCCUGUGCAAAGGUUCCUAAAAUUACAGUGGUUUGAUGGAAGCUUUGGCGCUGGGAAUGAUGGAAUGAGUGGCCGUGCUUUUAGUCUGAAUUUCUUGUUCCGUUGGCCUACUGCAAAAGUAUCUGUGAUUGGUGGCCCUUAGGUAAUCUGUUUAGCCUAUUUCUAAAAAGCCACAAGUCAAUCAUUGACUAACUGCUCGAGUUAGCAAGUUAAAUAAAAAUCUGGUAUCUGUAUCUACAGCGCCAGUUAACUUGAGCACAUAUUUGUCUGCUUUAUUAAUUUUUGAAGGCUGCUGGUGUACUGCCAAAAAUUGAGAAGAGCAACAAGAAAAAGCAAGGAGGGGAGUGGAGCACUGAAGAAGAGAAGUUCAAAAUGGAGUUAUUAUGGAAGCAGGUGAAACAGAAUGAAGCCCAUAUUACUAUAAGAAAGGUUCUAGGCCUCUGCCUGUCUGUUUCUAUGAAGAACGUUCCUGAGUAAACCAAGUAUCUUUAGAAUGUAAAAACAACUGUUACUUUGAAAGCUGGAUUCCUGCAACAGUGCCUGUCAAAUUACAAGUACAUAGGCAAUUUGUGUAGCCGGAGUAAAUAUGUUUAUGAAAUCUUUUUAAACUGUG